UUCAUAAACACGAAUUAGAUAUCUCAAUUAUCAGAAACACGAAAUAGGUCUCGCGGUUUCAAAUAUCAAAAGACUCACAUUAGUUUCUCGCGUGUCUGAUUUGAAUACAGAAGCCCCACUUUUUCUCUCCUUCCCUGCGCGUAUUCAGUCACUCUUCCCUUGUGCGAACCAACUGGCGAAAUCGCUCAAAAUCAAUGACAAUUUGACUUCUAGCUGCUCCCAUUCCUAUUUUAAGUGUAUUAGGAUGUCACAUAAUGGACCGGAAGAUCCAUCUGCUUUGCUAUGGCAGAAUGUUCACAUAUCUCUUCGAGCAUUUGAAGGCGAGGAAAUAACUCCUUUCACCAUUCGUCGCUAUAAGGACCAUUUUUGGGAUAUAGAUAAUCUUCACCAGUUCGUGAUUGAUUGGGUCCAAAGAUUUGGUUUUGGGGGAGUAUAUCAGUAUCGGAUGCCUUUGGCUGUAGAUCAUGCUCUGAUAACAGCAUUGAUUGAACGUUGGAGGUCCGAAACACAUAUCUUCCAUCUACCUAUAGGAGAAACCACUAUUACAUUACAAGACGUACAAGUGUUAUGUGGUCUACCUGCACAUGGAUUACCUUUCACAGGAAAUAGUUGUAGUAAACAAGGGUGGCAGGAUCUAUGUGAUGAACUUUUGGGAUUCUCUUCACAUCAAUGUGAGAUGAAGGAAAACGGGUUACAUGUAUCGGCCCUAGUACAUAAGAUGGUGUUGGAAUCUUUACAGGAUGGUCUACACCCUGAAGUCUACAUUCAACGGGCACAUAUGAUUGUGCUUAUACUAUUAGGAGCGUUGAUAUUACCUGAUGGAUCGAGGUGUAAAGUACCUUUGAUUUGGUUGACCGUGCUUCAGAAUGUUGGAGAUGUCCCUAUGUAUAGUUGGCCAAAUGUUACACUUGCUACAUUGUACCAUAAUCUUUGCUAGGCUUCCAUGGGUAGGAAGAAAGAUAUUGGAGGUCCAACGGUACUUCUACAGCUGUAGGUGUGGGAGAGAAUGCCCAAUCUUAGACCCGACUUUGUGCUGACAUGUAUGCAUACAGAAAACACUCCAUGUGUAGCAAUGUGGUCUAGCUCAUACCAGAUUAACAAUGCGCCCAAAUUUUCUGUUAUACAUUAUCACGAAUAGUCAUCAUAUCUCCAACAUGACCGGGUAAAACAAAUAACACUUUUAUAUAUCGCGAAAAGUCAUCAUAUCUAGUAAUUUAUGUCUCCAACGUGAGUAGGUAAAAUAAAUAAGACCUUUACAUAUAUGUGUUUAUCUAGUAAUUUAAUGGAUAAAUUGUUAUAGUUUAUUUGGAUGUUGUACACUGGACGCCAAUUACCAGACAUCUGUAACAACAUCGACAAAACUUGAAGAUCAAUGACAUAUAUGGCGUGUUGGGCUAUUGUCGAGGCACAUGAGCCUGAGAGUGUUAUGCGACAGUUUGGUGGGACUCCUUUCAUUCCAAAAAUGCGUGAGUGGGGAUUCAAUGAUUUCAUUUUAAUACAAAUCGCCGAGGGAAAUCCAAAAAGAAUUGACAGUUAGAGAAUAUGAAUUAUAUUCAACAAUGGGAGAGAAGGUUGGACAUUGUGUACUUGGAACCUCUCAGAAGUGAUCAUGAGUUGGUGGACAGAACUCGGUGUACAUGGAGUGGUAUAACAAGAUAACGAUUACAUACAUCACUCGGCCCGGCAGUCGCCCAAAUGUGGGGAUGAACACUGGUGCAUCAUCAUCAACAAUAACUUUUGAGACAUUGGGAUAUGUGUAUCACUUGACGUGCGAGGUGGACGAGAAUAACUCCCUAUCAGUAUUACAUGAUAUUAGGAAGCUUGUUCAUAACUGCCUUGUUGAAUGCGGCGAGAGUGAGCGUACAGUCUUGCCUACCAGACAACGUACAGAUGUGGAUAUGUCCUAGGGUUUCGGGCCAAUAGGUCGUGGUGGCGGUUAGAAAGGUGUCUAAAUCGGCGGACAUUGUAAUUUUAUGCCAUUCCAAGUGUCCCAGGACAUACCAAAGUCAUCACAUGGCGCAUCUGAAGAAAAUAGGAAUUGGGUUGACGGCAUGGAUAUCCACGACAAGGACAUACUAGAGUCAUUACAUGACGCAGCUAAAGAAAAUAGAAAUUGGGAUGACGACAAGGAUAUCCACGAUUAUAAUAAUUCAGAAAUGCAGAAUCCAACAGUACCAGAUCUAUCUGUUCAUAUGAUGCGCCCUCCAGCUAUUGCUGAAGUAGAUGAUGGAAAUGAAAAUGUUGAUGCUACAGAGGAUAGUGCUCACAUGGACUGCCCCACUAUACCAGUUAGAAGGUCUAAACGUGUGAACUGGGCAAAGAAGCCGAAUAAAUAUACACAAUGAUAGUGUACCUGUUAUUAUGAGAUUGUGUUGGAAUACUUGUCGUGUAUUGUGUUGGAACAUUCACUUCUAUUGUAUUGUUGGAUCCUGUAGGAAUUAUUGGUGUAUUGUGUUGGUAUUUUGUUUAUAUAUUUUUUUACAUGUGGUUUGAUCAA